rnacentral:lncRNA from 1 species
CGUCCAGUUAGUCUGUAGGCUGGGGAAGGGGACCCCACCCACCCAGGGGGUCCUGAGUGCGAGUUCUGAAGGGGAUGGGGAGGGAAUGGAUUACGUACUCUGAAACCACGGCAUUGGUUCAAAUUCCAUAGUGACCGUUGACGAAAAAUGGGGUCUGCAGGCCUGGUCCGGCGGUGUGACCACUGGUGUCACUCUAUCUUCGGCUUUAUUUUAAUCAACAUGCCAGGAACAUUGGUAAAAAGGUCAGUUGUAAAAUGAAAUGUCACAAGUUAGGGAUCAAUGGUUACAUAGACAUUGCUCAAGUUUCCGUUUCUCCUGAGAAACUGACCUGGGGUCAACUGAAAAGAAUUUAGGCCUCAGUCAGCAAGAGAGGGUCUGUUUUCUUUUAAAAGAUUGGCCCUAAGUUAACAUCUGUUGCCAAUCUUCCUCCUUUUAUUUUUCCUUCUCCCCAAAGCCCCCCUGAGCUGACACUGGGCUACUGGGGUAACCCAGCACAGUCUCCCCGACUCAAGAGCCGCGUCUGCCAAGUGCCCUUGCCAUGGAGGGUGACGUGCUCACAAGUUGUGAGCAUUGAUGCCGAUCUUUUUGGGGACCAUUAUUCUGCCUACAGCAGAGCAAGAUUGCAUCUUCUGGAAAUGGAAGGAGCACAAGUCUAUUGGGGAUGCUCUUCCAGGGGCCUCUGCCAUCACGUUGGGCUCCCUCCUUUCAAGUCCUCGUUGGUGGGCCCUUUGGUGAAGAGAGUUAAGCACACCUGCUCAGCCCACCACACUGAACCAGACAUUCUGGACGUGCAGCUGUGCCGGCGUGCCCCUUGCAGACAGCAGACAGCAGCUGUGUGUCUGUGCUCUGCGGGGACACCUCCAGCUACGGGAAGCAGUUCUUGAGGCUGUACUUUAAAAAAAUUUUCCUAUUUGUAUGCACUGGUUUGAUUUUUAAAAACUACGAGCACAGAUGUUUUACUGGAGAAAGAACUAUGUAAAAGACAUCAUUGGGGGCAUUACUGGAAAGGGGUUGAGCAUGAACAAGAAAAAGAGGAACUAGGGAACUUCUGCCUCUUGUUACAUUUCUCCCACUGGAAACUGAAACAAAGUGGCA